AUACGGAAGGUCCGGGCGCUAUCCGGAUUUAUUGGGUUUAAAGGGAGCGCAGGCGGAGAUGCAAGCGUGACGUCAAAUUUCAGGGCUCAACCCCGUCCCGCUCCGCGAACUGCGUCCCUUGGUUGCGGGAAGGGGAGGCGGAACUCGUGGUGUAGCGGGGAAAUGCGUAGAUAUCACGAAGAACUCCGAUCGCGAAGGCAGCCUUCCGGCCCGUCAACGACGCUCAUGCUCGAAGGUGCGGGUAUCAAACAGGAUUAGAUACCCUGGUAGUCCGCACAGUAAACGAUGGACACCCGCGGUUUGGCCUAUAUGGCUGAGCCGCCAAGCGAAAGCGUUAAGUGUCCCACCUGGGGAGUACGCCGGCAACGGUGAAACUCAAAUGAAUUGACGGGG
rnacentral:rRNA from 1 species